CCUCGGCCGUGCAGAGCGCGUGGAAGGCGUGCGCCGGGCCGGGCAGCACCGAGAGGUUGACGAUCCGCGGGGCGGCUGCGGGCGGCGGCCAAGGGGUCGGCGGAGAAAGCGAAUCCUGGGGCCACAGAGAAGAGUGGGAAACUUACCCAUUGGGAAGAUGCCCACCAGGCAGGCCAGGAGCUGGAGGGACCAUUCCAUGCUGUGAGUGUCUGGAGACCCCAGGCCAGCCCUCCUCUCACCUGGGCCACCAGUGAGAAGCCUCCUUGAUGACGUGGGAGAAGGCAGUGUGCCAGCAGGGGUUUUCAUUUUGAUGAAGCUAUCUUGCUGCGGCCAUGCUGAUUCUGAAGUGGUGAUUAUUCACGGAAGAACAAUCCUCACCAAAAUGUAGUCAUCAUUGACAAUGGUUACGUUACUAAGCAGCAUAAAAGGGAAAUAGCAAACUUAUUAAGGGAAUCAAUCCAGAUAAACAUGUCAAAAUGCUCAGAACAUCAACAUGCCAGACAGAAAUAUCCUACCGCAGGGGCAGAAUCUCAGUAUCUGCUGCAAAGAGAUAAUCAGAAGGCUGGACAGAAAAACGGCCAGGUAGGGGGCUGGCCAAGAUGAGCCAAUGCUUGAGGGAAAUGUUUUAGUUACGAUAAAUAAUAAUCUGUUGAGAUGGAGGGAGGCUCUCAAAUACAAUAGAUUU